GUGACUCUGAGUCUGCUAGUGUCAGCAGUACCCUGGAGACAAACAGAGGUUAAAUGCAUGUGGCCAGCAUCACCAUUCCACGGCUGUAAAAUAAGAUCCAGUCCCUAUCAAAGCAAGUAGUAAACAUUACUAGUGAAUUGCACACACUGCUAGAUAGUAUCAUCCUAACAUUAGAAAGGACCAAUCUGGUCAAAGCAAAAUUACACUGGACAAAGUUCAACAGGUAAGGAAGGCUUUAUCAAAGUAAUUGCUGUAGGGGAGAGAGAUCAGAACUCAAUCUGAGCUCAACUCCACAGAAACAAAGGGCAGAGCAGGAAAGGUUUUUAGAGCUGGGGUUGGAGGGAGAGGCCAUCCUAGGCCAUCCGUGUUCCCUAAGUGGCCUUAUUCAAAGGAAAAGUAAACUUUCCCCUAUCUUAUUGACAGAAGGAAGGUUUAAAACUUGGAGGAAGACUCCUGUGGAAGUUGGGCUCUUAUUCUCCCACAAACUGGAAGAAAGAGGCCACAUUUUCCUUGAUGGUUACCUUUCAAAUGGAUGGCUCCCAGGUCCUUGAGAAAGACAGUCCUGGGAUGCAAAACAAGUAGGAGGCUUUUAAAAUAUUUACACUUCAAAGAGGCAGAGAAAGAAUACACAAUUAUACAUUUUCUAAAGUAAAUGCUCUAAAAUAGGGAGAGGAAGGACCUAGAAUCUGGGAGAAGCCUGUCUAAAGUUUAUUCAAGCUGAGAGGAACGCUGACCAUGGAGUCCUUUGAGAAUUCACCUCUUUUACUGUUCUUGAUUUACUUUCAGCUGAAGGUCAACACCCCACAAUCAAGAAUGCUUCUAACAUCUCUGUACCUAAGAGUACAGGCUGAACUGUUCCCAACCAGCAACAGAAAAAGGAAAUUAUUCUCUUCCUUAGUCCAGUGUUCACUUUAUUUUCUGUCUCAUAAUUAAACUUUUCUGAGUGUGAUUGACAACUAAAAUAUCUAACCUUUCUUAGAGAAACCCAAACCCCAUCCAUUCCUGUGAGUUCCCAAUGACCCAGACAGAAUAAUCACUGUGGUACAUUUUACAAAUCUAGGUUAUUCAGCCUUCAAUGACAGCAUUGCGAUUAGAGUCUUCAGGGUCAAGCCAAGUAAAUUCCUUUUUACAUUCGUCCUUCAAUAUCUGUAUUCCUGAUCUCUAGAGAAUAAUUAUCUUGAAUAGGAAUCACAGAAUUUACUGAGAACAAGAAAAAAUUUUAAGGCAAUUAGAAGCUAUAAUUCAGAUUUGGAAAAGCAAAUCUGUAACUCUCAUGCAUUAUAGUUCUGUCAAAGCUCUUCAGUUCAUUUUAUUAAGCUCAUUCUGAAGCAUCUAUAAUAUAUUUGGGUUUUUCACCUGUAUAUGAAGCUCCCCCCCCAAUAAUAAGUAGGUACUUACUUGCAUUACCAAAAGUGCUCUCUCAGAAGAGUCUUCCCCAAAUGCAAAUUUUAGUUUCCUCCCUAGUAAGCAGAAACUGCUUGAGAUCCCACAAAUGAUAGUUCUUUUCCAGCCUAAUACAAGUUUUACUAUCCUAUCUAAACCAGGCGCCCUGCUGCAAUUAGGUUAUGGUAAUUGACCAGCAUCUGCCAUCUUCCCAGAUCCCUCCAGGUAAUUCAGUUUGAUGAUUGCCUACAGCUGCUAAGACUAAAUUUGGAAUCUAUUCUGUAUCCAGGAGCAUUCUAGUAAUUCCCAUUAGCAUUUAAAAUGAAUGUUUUCAGGCUGCUAAGAAAAUAGAGACAACUUUAAAUAAUGAAGGACUUGUAUUUCCCCUGAUAGAUAGAAAGAGUUAUAUUCUCUGGUUGUGGCUACAUAUCUCCUGUCCAGGUUCAUUAUUGUUUGUGUGAACUCACCAAGAGAAAAAAUAUAUCAGGUAGCUGCAUUUUGCUUUUUCUGGUUCCAGAAUCCAGCUUUAGAAAAGAGAGAGAGGAAAAGAAGCUACAGGAUUCAAAACCAAGUAGUGUCCUAACUGGAUACAUACCUCAAUUUUCCACAGAAUUCUAAGGAGAAAAGUCUUAAAAUGCUUAUUUCGAUUGCAGGACACUAAUAUCAGAUGUAGUCUAUGACUGGACAUUGAUCUGCAUCUUGGUAAUGCAGAACAAAUGAAAGAGAUGAUUUUAAUUUUAAACAAAAGCUUAUUGAAAAUCGGGAGUUGAUGACAGUAAUCUCCAGAGUCAAGUAACCAUGAAAUAGGCUAUUUCAUAUAGGAUAUAACUGGACAAACCAGAGGACUGGGUCUCAUCUGCAGGAGCAUAGUAUGCCCUCAAUGGUGCUAUUUUAUAAGUGUAAUGAGUAGGGAAAUUUCUUCCAUCUGAAGACUACUGUCAUAUCUCAGCAUUGAACUGGGUAGCAGAAUCAGCUAAUAAGGUAGCAGUGGGAAGAGGAAAAGUAUUCACGCAGAGGGAACAACAGUGCAAAGACCAUGGGGGAAACAAAGAACUAGAUUAUUUGGCCAUCAAAUUGGAAAGUGAAUGAGGUCCAGUGCCAUGAGCAAAGAAAUAGAGAGCCUUGGGAAAUAACAUCAAAGAGGUUGGCAGAGGCUAGAGCUUGGGAAACCCAGGUGACUAUACAGGCAUGGUCCUGAUUAGGUGUCAGUGAUGGGGUUUCACCAGGUGAGAAGCAGAACGUGGAAACAGCUCAGGCUGGUCAUGCUCUAGAGUCAGCUAACAAAAGUAGUUUGAUACAGUUGUGUUACACCUGCCAUUUUUGUGAGGAAGAAGUGAACAUUGAAAACUUCGGAAAGGGACUUCCCUGGCGGUCCAGUGGUUAGGACUCCACACAUUUACUGCCCCGGGCGAGGGUUCAAUCCCUGGUCGGGGAACUAAGAUCCUGCAAGCCGCAAGGCCAAAAAAUGUUAAAAAAUAAAUAAAUAAGUAAACUUUAGAAAAAGGGCAGAAAAAAAGUCCUAUUGUGUAUUCUUGGUAAGUUAGGGGUAAACUCUAGGAGAAAAUCAAAAUCAUAUGUAACUUGAGGCUGGUAGAAGAUUUCAAUCUAAGAAAUGGAAGUUAGGAAAGAGGAUGAAGAUGAGGAGCGGCAGAAAGAAGACCUAAAUUAUAGUAAAAACAGUAAAUUUUAUGGCAGAUAUAAGUCUUUAUAUAUGUGAUGUUAGUGAAAAUGGAAGAGUAUGGACAUCUAAAAAUUCCCUCCUCCAUAAAAGCAACAAAAUAAAUCUUGCAAAAGAAUGAUCAGAGUUGAAAUUAUUAGAACUUCAGAAGUUCACUCAAGGCUUGCAGCAAUCUAGAGAGCAUUUAAUCAAGCAAAAUGAUUGAAGCCAGAUAAAACCAGUGAGCAGUGUGGUGUUUUCAGCAGCGCUAGUUCCAUCUCUUGCUUUCAGUUUUAUCAGGAGGCUCAAAAACUAAGAGCCAACAAACAACUGUGGUGAAAACUGGAAGCCUAGAAGCGCUGGAUGGGGGCAGAAGUCAACUUCAGCUUGUUCAAAGCCUUUUUCCCAGAGAAUUAUUAUUUGACCUCUCUCGUGCUUCCUUGGAAGACCAUUUGCAAGGCUGCUGUGUUUGACCAACUCAGAACUUAUGCAUGUGAAAUACCUUUCCCUGGGGGGAAGGAGGGUGGUGAUGGGGGUAAGCAUUUGUCCAAAAAAAAAAGAGAAAAG